rnacentral:lncRNA from 1 species
UACACGGAUGCCCCACUCGCACUAUCAUUUUCUAUGUUCAGUGGACCGUGAAAUUGGAAUUGGAAUUAUAAUUAGAACGAUCAUAUCAUAGGGAACAUGUGUACUAAGUUUCAAGUUGAUUGGACUUCAACUUCUUCAAAAACUACCUUGACCAAAAACUUUAACCUGAAGCGAACGGACGCACAGACGGACGGACGAACGGAGGCACAGACCAGAAAACAUAAUGCCCCUCUACUAUCGUAGGUGGGGCAUAAAAAUAAA